UGAGGGAGAGAAUCUGAAAUCUUAAGAAAGCAAAUUCAUUAAACAUAUAUAAGCUGACGCGCUCGCAAAAUUGUUUUCGCGAAACUAAUCUUCCAAGUAUAGGAGAAUCGUACAAGUAGUAAAAUCUCGGAAGUCCGAGGUCGAAUCCUCAGAAAACGAAAUAUAUAUUAGAUUAUUUAAUAUAAUUUUAGAUUAAUUAAUUCAAUAAAUUUGUAGAUUAAAAUGAUGUUUUGAUUUUCAGAAAUUAAAAGCAGAGAAUAAUAAACAAAAUUUAAUGAAAUAAAGAUGGUAGGGAUCUGGAA
rnacentral:lncRNA from 1 species